GCAGGUGUCAAAGCCUUUGAUGGAGCGGCGACGGAGAGCACGCAUCAAUGGAUGCCUUGGAGAACUCAGAACUUUGCUCCUGCAAUCGCACAUAGCCCAGUCCUGCCGCCGCUCGAAACUGGAAAAAGCGGAUAUUCUCGAAUUGACAGUUAGACAUCUGAAGGCACUCACACAGAGUAAUGGAUCGGGAAGUUUUGCAGAAGUUGCGAUGAGUAGGUUUUACGCUGGGUACAGCGACUGCGCCAGGGAGGUGAGCCGCUUUCUCAGCACAAGCGACGUGAUAAACAAUACGGUGAGGGGGUCUUUACUUCACCGGCUUUCUGAUCGGGCCACGGCUUUGGCCAGCGGUGCGGCGCUGCCCAACCAUCUACCAGACACUCCCGUCCAUCGGUUCUCUUUUGAACGUCUUCCUGCAUUUUCCAGCGCAGGUUCUUCGGUGACUGAAUCCCAUUUGUUGACACCUCUGCAGUCCGUAGUCGUUAGUCAGCCUGCAACUCUUCCAGUUGCGAAUUCGGCUUUUUCAUUCCCGCUACAGGUACGUCACGAAUCCCCCUUGGGUCCAGGGGUCAGCACGCGACUCGUACAUGUAAAGACUGUUCUGGACAGCAAAGUGCAUACUGAGAACUCCUGCACGUCUGAAACAGUCUGGAGACCUUGGUGACUCUCAACAACGCAGAAAAUACUUACUAUAACAAGCGGAGGGUGGAAAUAGCUUAGCGGCACCAUACAAAAUACUAUAAAGUGUCUUAGGCCAUUGUUUCCUUUGCAUGUUUCUACGGUAUAUAUUAGUUGUAUGAUUAGAAUAAAGGUUGCACAGUAUUUUCAAUAGUCCAAUAUUAGGGCAUUUGUAAGUUGUAAGGUGACAAAAUGUUAAUGUAACAAAUAGGAAUGCAGACAAGGUGAAGGAACAACGAGCCAUUAGUUUCACAUUGGAGGAAGGAGACAAAUUUGAGAAAAUGCAUUUUUGAAGAUGUACUUCUGAAAUGAUUUACUUGUCUUA